GAUGAACGCUGGCGGCGUGCCUAAUACAUGCAAGUAGAACGCUGAAGGAAGGAGCUUGCUCUUUCCGGAUGAGUUGCGAACGGGUGAGUAACGCGUAGGUAACCUGCCUGGUAGCGGGGGAUAACUAUUGGAAACGAUAGCUAAUACCGCAUAACAGUAGAUGUUGCAUGAUAUCUACUUAAAAGGUGCAAUUGCACCACUACCAGAUGGACCUGCGUUGUAUUAGCUAGUUGGUGAGGUAACGGCUCACCAAGGCGACGAUACAUAGCCGACCUGAGAGGGUGUUCGGCCACACUGGGACUGAGACACGGCCCAGACUCCUACGGGAGGCAGCAGUAGGGAAUCUUCGGCAAUGGACGGAAGUCUGACCGAGCAACGCCGCGUGAGUGAAGAAGGUUUUCGGAUCGUAAAGCUCUGUUGUAAGAGAAGAACGAGUGUGAGAGUGGAAAGUUCACACUGUGACGGUAUCUUACCAGAAAGGGACGGCUAACUACGUG
rnacentral:rRNA from 1 species